rnacentral:snRNA from 1 species
AUCGCUUCUCGGCCUUCGGGCUAAGAUCACGUAUAGUAUCUGUUCAGUUUAACACAGAAGGCGUUAUAUUAAAAUGGAUUUUUGGAACAGGGAGAUGGAAUAGGAGCUUGCUCCAUCCACUCCAUGCACCAACCUGGUGUUGCAUAGUACCUCCAGGGAUGGUGCACCAAAA